GGCUGGUCCAAAGUUAGAGAGUUAUCUCACUUGAUUGUUCAUAGUCAGUUACAGACUGAACUCUUUGUUCUACUCUUUCCUUCCUUCCUUCUCAAUACUAUACUUGACUAGUCUAAA
rnacentral:Y_RNA from 1 species